rnacentral:lncRNA from 1 species
CAUCUUAUAGAUUUUCAACAAAAUUUGCGUGAUCAACUAACUUUUUUUCAAUUAAUUAUGUUAAGCAAUGCCAUUGUCUAGACAUAUGUGUUCAGAUUUUAUUUCAUUUUAUUUAUAAUGGCGGCAAUAAGAAUUGAACGUGUUCCCUAAUUAAUUUUUAAAAUUGUCAAAAGAUAAAAAUAAGAGCUAGCACUGCUUCUGCAUAAAUCCAGGUGCCUCAUAAUUUCUUUCAAAUGAUUUGUGUUCAGUAGUGGUGAAAUAAUGAAGAUAAAAAAAAGUUUAAUCGAGUCAUGUCAUGUAAGCAAAAAUUGAGAAAAGCUAAAGAAAUUGAGAGCAGUGUGUAUAUAUAAAAUAUAGGCAUUUGAAUUAUGGAUUUAAUCAUCAUCUGCAAGUACAUUUAUACAAAGAUAGGUAUAAAAUUAAUAAAUAAAUCCCAUAUUAUACAUAUAAGCAUGCAAUGGCGCAUGUGGUCUUAGAAUUAGAAGAUGGAUCAGUUGGGACCCCAGCAACUCAAGUACAUGACAGUCCUGAGAGAGUCUUCUGCCUGUUUUAGCUUGUUGUCAUUGUUGGGAGGUUUGAAGGAUGUGCCUGAUGACAAGAAGCGAUUCUGCUUAGAGGAUGAAUCCCUCAGGUUCAGAGACUUUAUGGUUGAGUCACACUUAUUAGACCCUAAUUGCUCCUUCAUGCCCUGAAGCAUUCUCAUCCCACCUUGGUAUAUCACCCUGCUCAUGUACCUCAAGCUCAUGCCCAGAAUCUCUUGAAUAAUCACCUUUUUUCUUAAGAAGAGAGAUCAAAUAUUUGGCAGAAAAUGGCCAAGUUCAAGGGACAUUUAUAAAACAAACAAAAACAUGGGCUGACCGGAGAUAAAGGUUGAAACAACCGGCUGUGUUUUGUCUUCUUCUGGUCUGGGUACUGGGUAGUAACUUUAGGUCUAUGGGCUGCAUAUAUAUAACUCUGUGGGCGGGGGACACGUGUCGGGUGCAUCGAAUUUAAAAGGAUUAUAU